AAUCAAGUGCCUUAAGGGUGUUCGGUGGAUGCCUUGGCGCUGAGAGGCGAUGAAGGACGUGCUACGCUGCGAUAAGCCGUGGGGAGCUGCGAAGAAGCUUAGAUCCGCGGAUUUCCGAAUGGGGAAACCCACCUUCGAUAGCCGGAACUCCAAGACCUUGUGUGUUGGGGUUCGACCAGAAAUGCGAGAAAUCAAACCGCGAGGUUUUGGAUUUCCGGUUAUCAAGAGAAGGUAUGAGACCUCUGAAUAAAAUAGGAGGUUUUAAGCAAACCCAGGGAACUGAAACAUCUAAGUACCUGGAGGAAAGGACAUCAAUCGAGACUCCGUUAGUAGUGGCGAGCGAACGCGGACCAGGCCAGUGAUACAUCAAAGACAAUCGGAACCUGUCAGGAAAGCAGGGCCU
rnacentral:rRNA from 1 species